rnacentral:piRNA from 1 species
GAAAGCAGUAUCGAUCAAACAGGAAUGA